rnacentral:rRNA from 2 species
CGCGGCCUAUCAGCUUGUUGGUGGGGUGAUGGCCUACCAAGGCGGUGACGGGUAGCCGGCCUGAGAGGGCGACCGGCCACACUGGGACUGAGACACGGCCCAGACUCCUACGGGAGGCAGCAGUGGGGAAUAUUGCACAAUGGGCGGAAGCCUGAUGCAGCGACGCCGCGUGAGGGAUGACGGCCUUCGGGUUGUAAACCUCUUUCGCCAGGGACGAAGCGUAAGUGACGGUACCUGGAGAAGAAGCACCGGCUAACUACGUGCCAGCAGCCGCGGUAAUACGUAGGGUGCGAGCGUUGUCCGGAAUUAUUGGGCGUAAAGAGCUCGUAGGCGGUGUGUCACGUCGGCCGUGAAAACCUCAGGCUUAACUUGGGGCUUGCGGUCGAUACGGGCAUCACUUGAGUUCGGUAGGGGAGACUGGAAUUCCUGGUGUAGCGGUGGAAUGCGCAGAUAUCAGGAGGAACACCGGUGGCGAAGGCGGGUCUCUGGGCCGAUACUGACGCUGAGGAGCGAAAGCGUGGGGAGCGAACAGGAUUAGAUACCCUGGUAGUCCACGCUGUAAACGUUGGGCGCUAGGUGUGGGGUGCUGUCCACGUAUCCCGUGCCGUAGCUAACGCAUUAAGCGCCCCGCCUGGGGAGUACGGC